rnacentral:rRNA from 1 species
GGAAGGAUCAUUAUUGAAUGAACUUGGUGUGGUUGUUGCUGGCCCUCUCGGGGGCAUGUGCACACCCACCAUCCUCAUCUCUCCACCUGUGCACCUCUUGUAGACCUGGAUAGACUUUCCGAGGCAACUCGGUCGGGAAGAUUGCUGCGCUCUGUGAGCCAGCUUUCUUUGCAUGUCCAGGCCUAUGUUUUUCAUAUACCCCUAUAGAAUGUAACAGAAUGUAUCAUUGGGCCUUGUGCCUAUAAACCUUAUACAACUUUCAGCAACGGAUCUCUUGGCUCUCGCAUCGAUGAAGAACGCAGCGAAAUGCGAUAAGUAAUGUGAAUUGCAGAAUUCAGUGAAUCAUCGAAUCUUUGAACGCACCUUGCGCUCCUUGGUAUUCCGAGGAGCAUGCCUGUUUGAGUGUCAUUAAAUUCUCAACCUUAUUAGCUUUUGUUGAUAAUGGAUUGGAUGUGGGGGUUUAUUUGCUGGCUUCUUCACAGAGAUCAGCUCCCCUUAAAUGCAUUAGCUGGUGCCCCGCGUGGACCAUCUAUUGGUGUGAUAAUUAUCUACGCCGUGGAUGUCUGCAAUCAUAUGGGUUUUGCACUGCUUCUAACCGUCUGUUCAUUCGGACAAUACAUGACAAUUUGACCUCAAAUCAGGUAGGACUACCCGCUGAACUUAAGCAUAUCAAUAAGCGGAGGAAAAGAAACUAACAAGGAUUCCCCUAGUAACUGCGAGUGAAGCGGGAAAAGCUCAAAUUUAAAAUCUGGCGGUCUCCGGCCGUCCGAGUUGUAAUCUAGAGAAGUGUUAUCCGCGCUGGACCGUGUACAAGUCUCCUGGAAUGGAGCGUCAUAGAGGGUGAGAAUCCCGUCUUUGACACGGACUGCCAGGGCUUUGUGAUGCG